rnacentral:ncRNA from 1 species
ACAAUACUUGUUCGAGCGAACAGUGGUAUGACGCUACGUCCGUUGGAUUAUGCCUGAACGCCUCUAAGGUCGUAUCCGUGCUGGACUGCAAUGAUAAAUAAGGGGCAAUUUGCAUUGUAUGGCUUCUAAACCAUUUAAAGUUUAUUAUUUAUAUUUUAAACGACAAUGGAUGUGAUGCCAAUGUAAUUUGUAACAUAGUAAAUUGGGAGGAUCUUUGAUCACCUGGUGCCAUGCUAGUUACAUAUGAAAACAUUAUUUAAUACAAUGACAAAGCCUAGAAUCAAUUGUAAACGACUUUUGUAACGGGCAAGGUGUUGUAAGUGGUUGAGCAGCUGCCAUACUGCGAUCCACUGAAGCUUAUCCUUUGCUUGAUGAUUCGA